GGGGCAUUGGCGCAGUUGGGAGCGCGCCUCCAUGGCAUGGAGGAGGUCGUGGGUUCGAAUCCCAUAUGCUCCA
rnacentral:tRNA from 1 species